rnacentral:rRNA from 1 species
AUUGAACGCUGGCGGCAGGCCUAACACAUGCAAGUCGAACGAGUGGCGGACGGGUGAGUAAUGUCUGGGAAACUGCCUGAUGGAGGGGGAUAACUACUGGAAACGGUAGCUAAUACCGCAUACCAUCAGAUGUGCCCAGCUGGCAUUAGCUAGUUGGUGGGGUAACGGCUCACCAAGGCGACGAUCCCUAGCUGGUCUGAGAGGACGACCGGCCACACUGGAACGAGGAAAAGUUCCAGACUCCUACGGGAGGCAGCAGUUGGUAAUAUUGCACAGUGGGCGAAAGCCUGGUGCAGCCAUGCAGCGUGUAUGAAGAAGGCCUUCGGGUUGUAAAGUACUUUCAGCGGGGAGGCUUUACCCGCAGAAGAAGCACCGGCUAACUCCGUGCCAGCAGCCGCGGUAAUUC